CUACGGGAGGCAGCAGCAAGGAAUUUUCGGCAAUGGGCGCAAGCCUGACCGAGCAACGCCGCGUGGAGGACGGCGGCCUUCGGGUUGUAAACUCCUUUUGCGGGGGAUGAUUGUGACCGUACCCCGCGAAUAAGGCUCGGCUAACUCUGUGCCAGCAGCCGCGGUAAGACAGAGGAGCCAAGCGUUGUCCGGAUUGACUGGGCGUAAAGCGCACGCAGGCGGUCGUGCACGUGGGGUGUGAAACCUGGCCGCUUAACGGCCAGACGCCACCGCAUACGGCGCGACUUGAGAGUGGCAGAGGUUCGUGGAAUUGCCGGUGUAGUGGUGAAAUGCGUAGAGAUCGGCAGGAACACCAAGGGCGAAAGCAGCGAACUGGGCCAUAUCUGACGCUCAGGUGCGAAAGCGUGGGGAGCGAACCGGAUUAGAUACCCGAGUAGUCC
rnacentral:rRNA from 1 species